CCUACGGGAGGCAGCAGUAGGGAAUCUUUCACAAUGGGCGAAAGCCUGAUGGAGCAACGCCGCGUGCAGGAUGACGGCCUUCGGGUUGUAAACUGCUUUUAUAAGCGAGAAAUAUGAUGGUAACUUAUGAAUAAGGACCGGCUAACUACGUGCCAGCAGCCGCGGUCAU
rnacentral:rRNA from 1 species